AAGCUAUGAUGAUUGAUUGAUCCGUUGAAGAAUUGGGUCUUCACUAUCGCCUAAUAAACUAGGCGAACAAAACAGCGCUUCUGAGCUU